GGAUUCCCUUAGUAAGGGCGACUGAACGGGGAAGAGCCCAGCGCAUAACCUCGUGUCUUAACCGGCACGAGGGGUGUUGCGUUUCGGAGGGUCGGCACGUCCGUCCCAUACCGCCUAAGUCAAGCUUGAAAGCGGCCACUACCCAUGGAGGGUGACAGGCCCGUGUGGCGGCNCCCGCGAGGGCAUAGAUGGGGCGGUCGGAAAGGGCCUCUCUGUAGAGUCGGGUUGCUUAAUAAUGCAGCCCAAAGCAGGUGGUAAACUCCAUCUAAGGCUAAAUAUGACC
rnacentral:rRNA from 1 species